AACGAACGCUGGCGGCGUGGAUAAGACAUGCAAGUCGAACGCUAAUACAAAGGUAGCAAUAUCGUUGUGUUGGAGUGGCGAAAGGGUGAUUAACACGUGGGCAAGUUACCGCGAGAUCUAGGAUAACCUGCUGAAAGGCAGGCUAAUACUGGAUAACACCUUGGAUCGGCAUCGAUUCAAGUUUAAAGUUGGGGCUCCGCAAGGACCUGACGACUCGCGAUACGCCCGCGUCCUAUCAGCUAGUUGGCGGGGUAAAAGCCCACCAAGGCUAAGACGGGUAGCUGGUCUAAGAGGACGACCAGCCACACUGGAACUGAGACACGGUCCAGACACCUACGGGUGGCAACAGUCGAGAAUUUUUCACAAUGGGCGAAAGCCUGAUGGAGCGACGCCGCGUGGGGGAUGAAUGGCUUCGGCCGUAAACCCCUGUCAUUUGCGACUAAACUCCUGCAAUUGAACAGAUUGCAGACUGAAAGUAGCG
rnacentral:rRNA from 1 species